rnacentral:rRNA from 1 species
UACGGGGGGAGCAAGCGUUGUUCGGGUUUACUGGGCGUAAAGGGCGCGUAGGCGGCCACCGCAAGUCGAUUGUGAAAUCUCCGGGCUUAACCCGGAAAGGUCAGCCGAUACUGCGGGGCUAGAGUGCAGAAGGGGCAACUGGAAUUCUCGGUGUAGCGGUGAAAUGCGUAGAUAUCGAGAGGAACACCUGCGGCGAAGGCGGGUUGCUGGGCUGACACUGACGCUGAUGCGCGAAAGCUAGGGGAGCGAACGGG